GACGAACCGUGCGAACGUUGUUCGGAAUCACUGGGCUUAAAGGGCGCGUAGGCGGGUCAUCAAGUCCGGGGUGAAAUCCUUCGGCUUAACCGGAGCAGGGCUUCGGAUACUGGUGACCUCGAGGGGUGUAGGGGCAUGUGGAACUUCCGGUGGAGCGGUGAAAUGCGUAGAUAUUGGGAGGAACACCGGUGGCGAAGGCGGCCCUCUGGGCCGAUACUGACGCUGAGGAGCGAAAGCGUGGGGAGCGAACAGG
rnacentral:rRNA from 1 species